rnacentral:lncRNA from 1 species
GGAUCACCACCCGUUUAUCCUUGAACUGUACUUAGGUGUCUUUUCCUCUUUGAAGUGAAUUGAUUACUGAGUCUUCCUUCUGUGCUAGGCCCAGUUUUUGCUUCAGCAUCUUCACACAACUCCUCUCUCCUUGUGUUCUGAUUGGUUUCUGAAUGGUCCUAAUGCUUUGGAUGUCUCAGUGGCAUCCCUCAGAGAGUUGAGGUGCUAAUUUGAAUCCUUUUUUUUUUUUAAAGUAAAUUGUUAGGUAAUGUGAAUCCUUUUCUUUGCCUUUCUAUCUCCACCUGAUCCUUCCUGUUAACAUUUAAACAUGUCAAAGUUCGCCAUCUUUUAAAGAACAAAAAAUAGUGACAGCUCUGUUCUUUCUACAUCUUUCUCUCCCAAGAGUGAGGAAUGCUUAGUGCAUCAGAUUUCACUGGUGGUAUGCCUUCAACAUCAGGGCUCCAAUCUGGUUCCCCUGAAACAGUUCUUUCCAAGAUUAUCGAAAGCUUAUGUGUAACUAAAUCAAAAGGAAGCAGGGUCUGUCUAUCUUGACUGCUGCCUCCCUUGAAACAUUCUCUUCUUUUUGCUUCUGUGGGAGGACACCUUCACUGGUUUUCCUCCUGCUCAAGGCCUUUCCACCUUUCUGCUAGGCUCCGUCUUCCAUCCAUUCUGAGUGGUAGAGUCUCUCCUUUCCUCCUCUCCUGGCUCCUUCCCCAUUCUCCUGUGGUGUUCUGCAUCUCUGCCACAGACUCCUUUCACCUCCAGUGUCCAACUGAUCUUUAAAACCUUCACUGGAGAGUUAAGUAAGAUUCUAUUCAAGAUCUAUAUCAUAAGGCUGUUACUUAUCAUUAGUAAAAUUCUUACUGAGUGCAGCUCACUGUGAUACGUGCUUUAUACAUGAUUUAAUUAAUUGCAUACAACAACUCAAUAGGGUUUGAUUACCCCUCUUUACAGCUAAGGAAACUGAAGUGUUAAAAAAAAAAAAGAGCAAGUUAUUUACCCAAGACCACAGGGCUAGUCUAUGUGACCCUAUAAUCCCGAGACCAGACUGAUUUCAUAAACACAGCAGAGCUUGACCUAUCCCUUCUACUGUUGAAGCCAGUGGCCCUGUCGUAGCUGUUCCUCCCAGCUAGGCUUUUCUUACAGCCUCAUGCCCACUCCUUUCAUAAGAUACCAUGGCUCCAGUCAAGGGAGGCCUAACCAUUUCUACCCUAGUCUACAUAUUCCCCAGGCCCUGCCCUGCUCUGCUUCUCCCCUUCUCUGGGAUGCACUGCCUCCCUCUCAACCUCACAAGCACAGGUCCACA